rnacentral:rRNA from 1 species
UACAGAGGUCCCAAGCGUUGUUCGGAUUCACUGGGCGUAAAGGGUGCGUAGGUGGUCAGGUAAGUCUGAUGUGAAAGCUCUGGGCUCAACCCAGAAAUGGCAUUGGAUACUAUCUGGCUAGAGGAAUGGAGGGGGGACUGGAAUACUUGGUGUAGCAGUGAAGUGCGUAGAUAUCAAGUGGAACACCAGUGGCGAAGGCGAGUCCCUGGACAUUUCCUGACACUGAGGCACGAAAGCUAGGGGAGCAAACAGG